rnacentral:rRNA from 1 species
AGUGAACGCUGGCGGUAGGCCUAACACAUGCAAGUCGAACGGCAGCACAGUAAGAGCUUGCUCUUACGGGUGGCGAGUGGCGGACGGGUGAGGAAUACAUCGGAAUCUACUUUUUCGUGGGGGAUAACGUAGGGAAACUUACGCUAAUACCGCAUACGACCUACGGGUGAAAGCAGGGGAUCUUCGGACCUUGCGCGAUUGAAUGAGCCGAUGUCGGAUUAGCUAGUUGGCGGGGUAAAGGCCCACCAAGGCGACGAUCCGUAGCUGAUCUGAGAGGAUGAUCAGCCACACUGGAACUGAGACACGGUCCAGACUCCUACGGGAGGCAGCAGUGGGGAAUAUUGGACAAAGGGCGCAAGCCUGAUCCAGCCAUACCGCGUGGGUGAAGAAGGCCUUCGGGUUGUAAAGCCCUUUUGUUGGGAAAGAAAAGCAGCAGGUUAAUACCCCGCUGUUCUGACGGUACCCAAAGAAUAAGCACCGGCUAACUUCGUG